rnacentral:lncRNA from 1 species
UUCUCUUGUGUUCCAGACCAAAAAAUGACCCUCGCUGCAAGAAAGAAUAAAAAGAGCUCCAAGCCAUGGUACGAAGUGUCCGAUGAAGAAGACAUGCUUUUACCCGACAAGUACCAGACGGUCAGGCCUCGCAGCAGCUCGGAAGACGAAGCUGACCUGGCCAUAGUGGCAUGACAGAUUGUGCUGUUGUGCGCACCCAAGUUCCUUCCUUACACACAUCAUCCUAAUAAUGUGUUGAACGCAGUUGGCAUUCUGGGGGGGAAAAAAAGGACUUUGCUGAGCAGGGAACAACAUUAGGUUUGCGAGAAUGAUGCCCUCCAUAAUGAGUGAGGUACACGGGCAGGCUGAAAUUGCAAAGCAGCCGAGCAGACGUGUUCCCGAGUGCCACUGGAUUCGCUUCGCGGUUAACUACGUUACAGUGCCUCAGACUUUUGUUGUCUUGGGAACAUUCUCAUGCCCUACUUUGAAGGUGAUUUCGCUACCACGGUUUUCUGUGGCAAGUUGAGGCUGUCUGUAUUGCAUUCUAAUAGACGAUGUUGCGUGCACCUGGCUCGAGGUUGGAACAUUGUGGGUCAUGUUUGCCCAGGUAGCAAGCGAGGCAACAUUGGCGGCACUGGAACGUGACCACAGCACGCGAGUACUGAAGAAGGAACAUGCAUAUUAAAUUUCAAGUUUUCUAGAAGCGGUCAACUGAUUGCUAAAUUUGUUCACACUAGGGGGGAGUAGGUCGAAAACUGCUAUGUAAGCACUUUUGAGAUCAAUAGAGAUUCUGUUUUUCUGCCCCAAUAGAGGUUCUCCCCCACCUUCUCCGAACCAAAAGUCGGGCGAACUGUCGGUACCAUUCCUGGUACCACCCAUUUGGUCUCCUUUGAUGCCUCUCUGCUGCCUGGGCAUAUCAUUUUGUCUAACAUAUCACACAGCAUAUCAUGGCAUCUCAUAAGGUUCCUUUGCCCUAGCGGAUGCAUUUAGAGAUAGGCUGUGUGUGUUAUCUCUUCCUCAGAAAGGAAAACAUGAAAAUAAACACUCAUCCUAACUCUCAAGUCUUUACCUUGAGAGCGGGUCCCUCUUGGCGGUGUGUUUGUUUCUUUGACUGACUGUCAUUCCGGAAAGUUCGUUUUUGCCAAGGCGGGGAUGUUGGUCUCAAAUUCGAGGCGUUUUGCCGAGGCGGACGUGUUUCAAAACUCAGGGCUGUUUUUUAACAAAUAUUUUUUUUAUACAUGUCGUUGUUUGUUGAGUUGUGUAUUAGGUGUGAUGGCCUUUGUAAAGUUUUUUACACUAGAAGGUGUGUGGCCACGCCGUGCAUAUAUUUAAAAAGUUGGAGCCUCGCGUGCAUGCAUGCUGGUUUCCUGUGCCUGUUUUUGCGUGUUUGAGCUCUUAAAUGCGAGAUCGAGUGCCAGACUAUGUGAUAUGUGCUCCAAUUCCAUUCUUACCUCUUGUGUUUCUUUCACCAAAAACGUUUUUGAAGGACCAGCGUUAACCACAAAAUUCCUAAACUGACCACAUUUUUAAUAAGCUGACCCUUUGCAUUUUGAAAGACGGGUAUUAAUGCAUGAAACGAGAAGACACAGUAUAGAAUUUUUUUUUAACUGAUUGUCAUGGCACUUUCACAUGCUAAUGCAGCUAUUUGCGAGAAAUACUCUCUUGUGCCAAGUUUUGUACAUAUACGAUGAAUUGUUGCCACUGUACCAUAAUCCUUCACAAAAUGUACCAUACAGUAAUAGUACUCAGCUUCUCGUAAGCUUUCUUUCCUCAAGAUACCUCUGUGAAACUAAUCACCUGUACUUGCUCCCAGUGAGAGUUCUCAUCUUCCAUUCCAUUGCAAACAUUCAUUGGGCUACUCUUCAUACACAAGUGUUAAUUUAUCUGCUGCUAAUACUAUUUUUUGUACAAAGUCGAUAGUCUCCUUGUAUUGAGAAUGAAAAAAAAAAAAAAAUAACUGUCUUCUUUAACUGUUAUGUUGGCCGAAAUAAAACAAUGACUAAUGA